CUAACCAGGAUUCCCCUAGUAACUGCGAGUGAAGAGGGAUUAGCCCAGCACCGAAGCCUGUGGUCAUUUGAUUACUAGGCAAUGUGGUGUUUAGGUUGGUUCUUGGCAUUACUGCUCUGCUCCAAGUCCAUUAAUGAGUACGGCAUAUUGGAAUGGCCCACAGAAGGUGAAAGGCCCGUGGGAGCUGAGAUCAUGUUGGACAGUUUUGCCCUGAAUUGACCAUGGAGUCGGGUUGUUUGUGAAUGCAGCCCAAAGUGGGUGGUAAACUCCAUCUAAGGCUAAAUACUGGCACGAGUCCGAUAGUAAACAAGUACCGUGAGGGAAAGUUGAAAAGUACUUUGAAGAGAGAGUAAACAGUGCGUGAAACUGCUCAGAGGUAAACGGGUGGAGUUGAACUGCAAUCCUUGAGGAUUCAGCUGAUGAGUAUGAUAUGAGCUUGGCAUGUUGACUGGCUCCUGGAGUCCACUUAGCUGUGGGUCCCUAUUCAUUUGAGUGGGGAUGCGAGAUGUGCUAACCAUGCACUGUGCGCUCUGGGUUGUCCGGGUCUGCUCGUCAGUGCACUUUCUCUUGGUGUUCACCACGACCGGCACUGCUGUCUGUUUGCUAUGGUUAAACCGGCCAGGCAUUUUCUUGUUUGGUCGGGAUGGCAGGUAGCUCGUUGAUUCUUGUUGGUUUCGGCUGGCUUGAGUUUUCGAGUGUAAUGAGCUGACUGUAGCGAACCUGUGCAGUGUGUCGGAGAUUGCGGCUUUGGUGUGUGCAUGCGUGCUAUAGCCUGCUGGCGGGAUUGAGUCUGGUUGGCAAGUUACUUGCUUCGGCAAGUCGGUCGAUGUCUCGGUCUCGUUCAGUUGGUGGUGGCGUGUGUGAUACUAUCUUGGGCCUAUAGUCUGUGGUGUAGUGGUAAACGUUCCACCUGACCCGUCUUGAAACACGGACCAAGGAGUUUAACAUGUGCGCGAGUCAUUGGGCGUUACGAAACCCAAAGGCGCAGUGAAAGUAAAGGUUCGGCUUGUCCGAGCUGAGGUGAGAUCCUGCUGUUUCCUUUGUCUUGACUUCAAGCAUUAGAGCAGUAGGCGCAUCACCAGCCCGUCUCAUGAUGUAGCCAUCUAACCCUGUGUUAUUUGCACCAUCGGGGCGGAGCUAGAGCGUACACGUUGAGACCCGAAAGAUGGUGAACUAUGCUUGANCAGGUUGAAGCCAGAGGAAACUCUGGUGGAGGACCGCAGCGAUUCUGACGUGCAAAUCGAUCGUCAAACAUGAGUAUAGGGGCGAAAGACUAAUCGAACCAU
rnacentral:rRNA from 1 species